rnacentral:rRNA from 1 species
GACGAACGCUGGCGGCGUGCCUAAUACAUGCAAGUAGAACGCUGAAGAGAGGAGCUUGCUCUUCUUGGAUGAGUUGCGAACGGGUGAGUAACGCGUAGGUAACCUGCCUUGUAGCGGGGGAUAACUAUUGGAAACGAUAGCUAAUACCGCAUAACAAUGGAUGACACAUGUCAUUUAUUUGAAAGGGGCAAUUGCUCCACUACAAGAUGGACCUGCGUUGUAUUAGCUAGUAGGUGAGGUAAUGGCUCACCUAGGCGACGAUACAUAGCCGACCUGAGAGGGUGAUCGGCAACACUGGGGCUGAGACACGGCCCAGACUCCUACGGGAGGCAGCAGUAGGGAAUCUGCGGCAAUGGGGGCGACCCUGACCGAGCAACGGCGCGUGAGUGAAGAAGGUUUUCGGAUCGUAAAGCUCUGUUGCAAGUCAAGAACGGGUGUGAGAGUGGACAGUGCACACUGUGACGGUAGCUUACCAGAAAGGGACGGCUAACUACGUG